GCGGUUCAGCAAUAAAAAUAGUCAUACAUUAGUAAAGGCCUUAUUAGUUUAGUAAGUAAUGAAGUGAUCUAGAGUCAUUUAGUAAUCUAAACUUCUUAUGUUAUGAUAUUGCUUCAUUGCAAUUCUCAUAUAUAUAUUAUAUAUAAUUUGGACACCAAGAAGUAAAAGAAAGAUCACUCUUGUAUUUCUGCAAGUCCAUUACAGUUAGCCCACAAAGCGGAGGGAGAACAAGUAGUAUUUGAUUUCACACCAUGAAGUUCAUUACGAGUAUAUUUCUCCUUGUGAUAAUGUCUCCUGCAAACGAAGGUGUAUUUAAGCAGUUCCCGAAUAUUAUUAUUAAACCCUACAAUCAACAAGACAGUGAAACGUAUUGUUCAGAAGGACUAAUCAGUGGUCAGGAUACGCUAGUCAUGAAGGCUUCCGUCAUCUUUCAUCGGAUACCGAAUGACUGGGCACAUUAUUUGAAACUGUUAAUAGUAACAGCCACUGAAACCUUAGUACGUUUAUACAUUAAAAUGAAUACUUUUCUUAAUAUACAUACUAUAGUUUAUCAUAGUUAAUUGGCUAGCACAACAAUCGACUACCAUUAUACUC